UCGGGUAUGGUGUACGGCGCCCCGCUCCUUCUCGUGAAGUGUCGCCACUGUUGGUAAUUGGAUGGAGCAAGCCGGGGUUCGACUCCCCGUACCCGAA